AAAUAGGUACUCUGAGAGAUUAAGUAACUUUUCUUAAGAUUAAUCAGUUAAGUGAUUAAGCUGGAAUUUGAAUCCAAUUAUGUCUGACUGCCAAAUUGAUUCCUUUUUUGCUAUGCCAUGCUGCCUUUAAUUCAUAGUGAUUGUUACUUCAAAAUCAAUCUUGCUGCAGUAUAUAUGGACUGGACUAGCUGCGUCAUGCUCUUUCAGCUUGCUAUUUACCCCUAUUAUUUUCACUAGGUACUGUCUAGAAGGGGUCCAGUAGAACCAGAAGAGUUUUCUCAGAGAGGAAGCAACAUUUUACAACUGAAUCUGCCCUACAUAUACAGAAGAGUCCAAGGUUGGAAACCUAAGCAAUCCAAGAAAUCGCUGUCCCUACAGAAGUUAAACAAUAGAAUGCUUUCUCUCCUGCUUUAAUCAAUGGUUGUUAUCUUGCUCUGAAGAUAAUUGAAGCAGUGGACAUCUCAUAUCUUUUUCUACUUAUUGGGCUAGAGUCAGAGUCACCCUGACUCUGACUUAUUUUUUAAUUGAUAAGAUCUUUAAGUCAGAGAGAACUUGGUACAACUCCAGGCUUUCCUAAUUAUUUAUGGAAAUAAAUAAAUAUGGACAAGUCCAUUAUUAUCUUAAGUCUGUAAAAUCGAGAAAAUAUGAUAAACCAUGCAUGAUUAUAUUUGAGUAUUUAAUAAAGGACCUUUGGUACCAGGCA
rnacentral:lncRNA from 1 species